GGGAGUACCCACGAGGAAACUUAGGCUAAUACCGGACGUAACAACAGAGAAGGCAUCUUCUUUGCUUGAAAGGCCCCUUCAAGGGUCACUUAAGGAUGGACCUGCGGCGCAUUAGCUAGUUGGUGAGAUAACAGCCCACCAAGGCGAGGAUGCGUAGCCGAACUGAGAGGUUGAUCGGCCACAUUGGAACUGAGACACGGUCCAAACUCCUACGGGAGGCAGCAGUAAGGAGUUUUCGGCAAUGGGGGAAACCCUGACCGAGCAACGCCGCGUGAGCGAUGAAGGUCCUUUGGAUUGUAAAAAGCUCUGUUGUAAGCCAUGAAUGAUAGCUUGAGGAAAUGCAAGCUAUUUGACGACAGCUUACCAGAAAGCCACGGCUAACUACGUGCCAGCAGCCGC
rnacentral:rRNA from 1 species